rnacentral:rRNA from 1 species
AACGUAGGUUCCGAGCGUUAUCCGGAUUUACUGGGCGUAAAGCGCGUUCAGGCGGUUUGGCAAGUCGGGCAUGAAAUCUCUCGGCUCAACCGGGAGAGGUUGUCCGAUACUGCUGGACUUGAGGGCAGUAGAGGGUGGUGGAAUUCCGGGUGUAGUGGUGAAAUGCGUAGAUAUCCGGAGGAACACCAGUGGCGAAAGCGGCGACCUGGGUCGAUACUGACGCUGAGGUGCGAAAGCGUGGGGAGCAAACAGG